GCAAGCGUUAUCCGGAUUUACUGGGUUUAAAGGGUGCGUAGGUGGGCAGGUAAGUCAGUGGUGAAAUCUUCAAGCUUAACUUGGAAACUGCCAUUGAUACUAUUUGUCUUGAAUAUCCUGGAGGUAAGCGGAAUAUGUCAUGUAGCGGUGAAAUGCUUAGAUAUGACAUAGAACACCCAUUGCGAAGGCAGCUUACUACGGGAUUAUUGACACUGAGGCACGAAAGCGUGGGGAUCAAACAGG
rnacentral:rRNA from 1 species